GGGAGUCGGAAGGACCCCUGUUUUAAUCCUGGUUCUGCCACUUGUCUGCUGAGUGACGUUGGGCAAGUCGCUUCACUUCUCUGGGCCUCGGUGACCUCAUCUGUAAAAUGGGGAUCAACACCGUGAGCCCCACGUGGGACGUGGACCCUGUCCGACCUGAUUAGCUCGAAUUUUAGUACAGUGCCCAGCACGUAGUAAGUGUAAACAGAUGCCAUAAAAGAGAGAGCGAGAGAGGUGUCUUGACCUCUGUUUGGUUGUUACCCAUUGAAAUCACGGUGUUUUCCUUCUUCCCCUCUCCUGUGCCAACUCACUGUAACCGUAAUAAUAAUAAUGGUGGAAUUGGCUAUGAGCUCUUCCUAUGAGCCAAGUACUGUGCUAAGGGCUGAAGUAGACACAAUAAAAUCAGGUCAGAUACAGUCCCAGUCUCACAUGAGACCGACAGCCUUAGGAGGAUUGACGCUCAGAACAGUGCUGGGCGCAUAGUAAGCGCUCAACGAAUCCCAUCUAAAACAAAUGGAUAUCAAAUCCCCAUUUUAUUAAUGAAGAAACUGCGGCACGCACAAGUGAAGUGACUUGCCCAGGGUCACACGGCAGACACGUGGUGGACUCGGCACUAGGACCCAGACCCUUCUGACACUCGGACCCCGGCUGGAUCCACUAGGCAACCCUGCUCCACUCUGAAGAGAAGCAUUCAGAGUACAUAAUUACAGGUUCAUCUUUUUCUUUUUUUUAUUCCCCUAAGAUGUUUUUGUAGAGAUGCUUGCUAAAUCCUCCACUCUCUAAAGAAGAUGGCAACAGCUGUGACCUCUUGAAGUCUUCAGGGAAUCAUUCCCGUCGCAUUCUGGGGCAGGUGGCUUUCAUUUGCACAGGUGUAUGCUUGUUUUAAAGGCAGCCAGAGAAGGAGGGAUAAAUCGUUCCGUGGAGCUCCUUUGUCACCAAAACAGCUCUCAGAAAGCACCAGCCCGGGCCUCUGCUCCUCCACACAGAUGGUGGCGUGUUCAAAUCAAGGCCACCGCAGUAAAAUCAACGUGAACAACCCCCAGAGAGCCUCUCGGCAAAUGAAUAAGCUUUUCAGAUUUGUGUUUAAUAUACCAGCCAGGCUCCUUUUCUCCGGGAGGCAAUUCGACUGCUUCGCUCGGGACGGUGGAAUUGCUUAUUGAUUUGGUAACGAUUCUGCGUCAGAGGCUCUUUCUUCGCCUUGUUGUUCACCUCUCUGGAUGGGCUUUGAGUUUGUUUUCUGUAAAACUUAAUAAAAUAUUAAGGAAAAACAAGGAAUCGAUGGACCGUCAGGAUGCAUAAGGCCUGUCCUGGGAGUUUGCCCUGGAUCCAAUUUUACGGGUAGGUAACAUCGGCGAUAGAGCCACGUGGAACUGAGCUGCUCCAUAAUCCAAUCGUGAACAGAAGGGGAGCAGCGAUGCCUGGUGGAAAAGAGUUCGAGUCUGGGAGUCAGAGGACCUGGGUUCUAAUUCCAGCUCGGCACUUGCCUGCCGUGUGACCUCGGGCGAGUCAUUUAACUUCUCUUUUUCUCUCUCAAAAUGGAGAUUCAGUACAGUUUUUCCUCCAAUUUAGUGUGAGCUUUAUGAGGGACAGGUACUCUGUCAGAACUAAUUAACUUGCAUCUAUCCCAGUGCUUAGACAGUGCUGGACAUAUAGUAAGCUCUUAACAAAUGCCACAUUUAUUACUAAGCCUUUACGAAAUACAAAACAAAGAAAACAAAGAAUUAGAGAGUAAACAAAAUAAAUGAUCGAAUGUAUAACUUAAUAGACUCACAUACUACAGGAUUAAGGAUAGCUAAGUAAAUCAUGGAAGCCCAGAGCAUUGACUAGCCAUAAGCCACGAUCUUAGUGGAGGUUAAAAACAGGUCAAAGUAUAAUAAUAAUAAUAAUAAUAAUGUUGGUAUUUGUUAAGCGCUUACUAUGUGCCAAGCACUGUUCUAAGCGCUGGGGUAGACAUAGGGAAAUCAGGUUGUCCCACGUGGGGCUCACAGUCUUAAUCCCCAUUUUACAGAUGAGGGAACUGAGGCACAGAGAAGUUAAGUGACGUGCCCACAGUCACACAGCCGACAAGUGGCAGAGCUGGGAUUCGAACUCAUGAGCCCUGACUCCAAAGCCCUUGCUCUUUCCACUGAGCCACGCUGCUUCUCCGAGCCACUUCAUUAGAUCAUAUUUAUUGAGCACUUACUGUGUGCAAAGCACUAUCCUAAGCACUGGGGAGAAUACAGUAUACAAUAAACAGCCAUAUUCCCUGUCCACAAUGAGCUCACAGCCUAGAGGAAGAGAAGGACAAUAAUACAAAUAAAUAAAUGUACCUGCUGAUCCCAAAAUAAUUAGCCCUUCCCAGCCUUUAUUUUAGCCAUUAGUACUUAUUGAGCACUUACAGUGUGUAAAGACGUACUAUACACUUGGGAGAGUACAUUAGAUAAUAAUAAUAACCAUAUUUGUUAAGCGCUUAGUUUUGUGCCAAGCUUUGGGGUAGAUUCAGGGCAUUCAGACCAAAAAGAGUCGGGUGACUCAUGAACUUCAGUUUUAAGGGGCGGAAUUGAAUCCCCAUUUUACAGAGGAGAAAACUGAGUCACAGAUGAUUAAAAUGAAUUGCCCAAGGUCACCCAACAGGCAAGAGACAGAGCCAGGAUUAGAAACCAGAUCCUCUGACUACCAAAGCCAGACUGUUUCCCCGCAGGCCAGGUUAAUAGAAUCCACAGAGGUCAUCCUUACCCACAAGGAGAUUACACUCUAGCUCUUCUUACCCUACACUCCCUAAAUACGUUUUAGAGAAGCACGGAGCGUCGGAUGAAAAAUGGAGCAGGGAGAGAAAAUUCAAGCAAUUAAAGAAUCAGCGCAUUUUUCACAAUUAACUCGGUGCUCACAGGCUGAAUAGGAAACGCUGUUACCGGGACAUUGUUAUUCCGUACCUGACAUGGACAAUGGGAAUAUUUGUUCUGCCCGGGAGGAUUACACCUUCCAUUAAUCUAGGUUUUAUUGAAAGUUUAAAUAACAGACAGACAAAAUUUGAUCAAUUAGCAGUGUAAUUCCAAGGAGCCGUCAUAGGAAAAUUAAACCUGAAGCAGUCGUGAUCCGGGGAAGUGGGCUCUCCCUCCAGUUUGCCUUCACAGUAACGAGGUUUAUAUUUUAAUUGAAACCUGACUCCGUUUUGUGCUUCUUCUUCUG
rnacentral:lncRNA from 1 species